UCCUCUGUGGCGUAACGGCAUCGCACCUCACUCCUAUCCUUAUCCUACUUAUUCUUAGAGGAGAUUCCCGGUUCAAAUCCGGGCAGAGGGA